GUGCUCACUUCGGCAGCAUAUAUAGGUACUGAAGUUAGAACGAUACAGAGAAGAUGAGCAUGGCCCUUGCACAAAGAUGACAUGCAAAUUCGUGAAACAGUCAAUAUCUAA